UUACGACCAUAUCACGUUGAAACACCGUUUAUAGUAAGAUCACCGAAGUUAAACAACGUUGAGCCUGGUCAAUACUUAGAUGGGUGACCACUUGAGAAUACCAGAUGUUGUAAG